UAAACCAUACCUCCCAGCACGACAUCAACCCGUCUUUUGAACACCUCCAGGGAUGGUGCCUCCACCACAAAUGGAAAAAUAAAAGAGUAAAAAUAAAAGAGUAGAGAAAAAAACAAACUUUGGUCAUUAGGGAAAGUAUCUAUACUGCAUAUUCAGUACAGAUAAAUAUUUUAAAAGUGUUAUAUGUGGUUUUGGGAGAGAGGGGAGAACUGUUCGGUGUUCAAGGUCGUUUUGCUUUUGGGUUAAAUCUGUGAGUUCAGCUUACUGUUAUUGUUAGGACUAACACUGGUGUGCAUUAUCCAGCAGGUCCAAGAGGCCAGAGGCUGAGAUCUUAACCCGCAGCAUGAAGAGAAGUGCAGAGUUCCUUGGGCUGUUCUCUCCCCGUCCCCGCCAGCCCUGCGGUCUCCGUUAACGCUGUCACCUCCCGUCGCAGCACGCUGCAGCCACAACACACAAUAGAGAAGGAUGAGUGUCCAGCACAAGAGCAGCCAUGUGGUUACAGCUUCAGUCAGCAGAGGGAGUAUGGACACCUGUGUUAAAAGCCACAUUGGGUCACUGGUGACAGCCAAGAGAAUAGACUUUCUCCUAGAAUUCCGCUUUUGUCUGCAAAAAAAAAAGGAGCCUAGGAGUUAUCAGGCUGUAGCACUCUGGAUUCCUUCAAGUCUGCAGAGCAUGGAUUUAGAAAUAUCAGAAGGAAGAGCUGCAGGAUUCCAAACUGGGAAGUUCCGAAAGCAUAAAGGAGGAAUUUAGCAACAAAUUACAGUAAGAAUCGAGUCUGGCUUGACUGUAGAGUGCUAACGAUAGAGGAAGUGAGAAAAAUCUGACAAAAAUAAAAAUGUGGUUGUUAUCUUCA